GUCUACUUCGGCGCAACGUGUCGGGGGACGGAGAGGCGUGGUGGCGCGGGGCCAACGCGCGCGAGCGUACUCGAGAGAGAGGAAAAUACCAAUGUGUGCGCGCGGGUGCUAACCCUACCUGUGAAUUGACCGAGGGCUCUGCCCCAGGCCCAGGAGCCGCCUCCCCCAUCUUUCCGUCCUGACACAGGCGGAUCUGGAUCAGGCUUCCCUCAUCCCCUACCCUCGUUCAUCCUCCUGCCGGCGGCCAUGGCGCCGCGCCCGCCGCUCGUCCGGCCGCCCUUCUCGCCUCGACCCGCUACCCAUGCCCUUCUGGCGCCCCUCUGUAAUCGGCAGUUGAUGCACGCGAGACGCGUCCAUGGAAUCAUGCCGCUCGCCGACGGCAGAUCGAGCGCCGUCGUCGAUCCGCGAGCUCCGUGCCGUUUCCUGGCGGCCAAGAGCACCUUCCGCCAACGGCCAGCAGUGCAUGCAAUCGCCGGCUUGGAUAUUUCAUCCAGCUGACUGCGCCGUGUAGGUCUCUAAGCUUGCAUGGUGUUUCCUAGCUCUGGAGAUCGACAAAUCCAUCUGCGACGAGGAGCUAAUUGCAUACCCAUCCACCGAUUUUAUCCUCUGCAGCCCGCUUGCUAUUUAGAGUUCAUGCUGCUCCUCUCUGCCAUGCCACCGUAGCAGUGGAAGAGAGAUACCCAAAGGAGAGCGCGAGCACGGUGGCAUCAAAUAUGUCGAUGAACAAAGGAUAUAUCCAUGGUAGUUUGGUUGUCACCUGUCGGUGAGCUCUAGACGGGAAGUGACUUUCGACAAGGUGUGCAGUUAUCGUCGGUAGGGGGGAAGCUCGUCUCCAUGGUAGCCGGCGGUGCUCAUGGCGGUCCGUGCCGUUUCCCCUCGUCGUCCGGUGAGAAACAUCUUUUGCCGACGGCCAAAGGUGCAUGGCUGGCAUGGCUGCCCUUUUCGUAGCCAUAUAAUCGGUAGCAGCGCCUGACUUGACACAUCUAUCUAUCCAUCCUCGAGCCUCUACAACCAGGGGGUCAUGACAAUUUGGCGCCGUAGCGGUGGGAGAGCAAUACAAGAAGGAGGUUGCACGGUGGGAUCAAUGUCGACGCAAACGAGCUAUAUGAUGCCCUUUUUGUUAAUUUCUAAAGUAGUGGUUGUCCGCGAGCUCCAGACGAGAAGUAACUUGCUACAAGGAGGUGGUUGAACCGGAAAUUCUAACCGACCCUAUUGUCGAGAGGUUAAAUUUAGUUGAAGAAGAAAACAAUUACUUGAAGGAAAAAAUAAAAAAAAUUGAGGAGAAGAAGGUGAUAUU